ACUCUGAAAAAUCCACAUGUCAAGGCUACGUGGAAAAUCACGUAGCGUCAGAAAAGUGUUCAUUUGCCUGAAUUUACCUGACGAAGGUGACUAUUAUCUAGCCAGAGAUAAAUAUGAUAUGAUGUUCCACUUGCCUUUAUGCAGCUUCUCAGUAUCUCUCACUUGGAAAUCACGUAGCCACCUGAGUUCAUUGUGACAACUUCAUUUCGUGUUCAUUGUUGUGAUGCCGCCAUCAUUUUGUGUGCAUGUCAUCGCCAAGAUGGCGCAAUUUGAAAACAAACCUCGACUCCUGUUUUUUUUUCGAUAUCACCCGACAUUUUUGUCAGAGGAAUUGUUAUUGUUUAGGCACCGCUGAACGGGUGCCGUCGAUGAAAACUGCAAGCUGCUAACAGAAAUGAUCCGGAGAAGAAUAGCAGCAUUCUGUUUCGGCAGCACACUAAAUGCACCAACAUCGCCUAAAAAAGCAUACGCAGCAAUAGCAAUUAUUUUCAAAGUGCGAACUGUUAAAUACUUGCGACGACCAUAAUGUGCCAAGACGUAGUGCCAGAUUUAGCGUAAAUAAACAGAAAUUUGACCGAA